UUCGUAGGCGGUUUAGUAAGUCAGAUGUGAAAGCCCUGGGCUCAACCUGGGAACUGCAUUUGAAACUGCUGAACUAGAGUGUGGUAGAGGGAAGUGGAAUUCAGGGUGUAGCGGUGAAAUGCGUAGAUAUCCUGAGGAACACCAGUGGCGAAGGCGACUUCCUGAACCAACACUGACGCUGAGGUACGAAAGCGUGGGUAGCAAACAGGAUUAGAUACCCUGGUAGUCC
rnacentral:rRNA from 1 species